rnacentral:rRNA from 1 species
ACCAUUUGGCGGGGGAUAACCAGAACCCCUUUAGGCUAAUACCGCAUACGUACUGCAAUUUUGAAAGUAGCAGUAGAAAGAGUGCCUCUCCUUGGAAGCACUUACCAAAUGAUGAGCCUGCGUAGCAUUAGUUUGAUGGUGGGGUAAUGGCUUACCAUGACUACGAUGCUUAGCUGGUCUGAGAGGAUGAUCAGUCACACUGGAACUGAGACACGGUCCAGACUCCUACGGGAGGCAGCAGUGGGGAAUAUUGCGCAAUGGGGGAAACCCUGACGCAGCAAUGCCGAGUGAGUGAGGAAGGCCUUCGGGUUGUAAAGCUCUGUCAGAAGGGAAUAAUGGUAUAGGGUCCAAUAGGCCUUAUAUUUGAAGGUACCUUCAAAGGAAGCACCGGCUAACUUCGUGCCAGCAGCCGCGGUAAUACGAAGGGUGCAAGCGUUGUUCGGAUUUAUUGGGCGUAAAGCGCGCGCAGGCGGAUUGUUAAGUCAGAUGUGAAAUCUCGGGGCUCAACCCCGAAACUGCGUCUGAAACUGAUAAUCUAGAAUCUCGGAGAGGGAAGGGGAAUUUCGCAUGUAGGGGUAAAAUCCGUAGAGAUGCGAAGGAACACCAGAGGCGAAGGCGCCUUCCUGGACGAGUAUUGACGCUGAGGCGCGAAAGCGUGGGUAGCAAACAGGAUUAGAUACCCUGGUAGUCCACGCCGUAAACGAUGUGCACUAGAUAUUGGAGGUUUGACCCCUUCAGUGUCGUAGCUAACGCAUUAAGUGCACCGCCUGGGGAGUACGGGUCGCAGACUAAAACUCAAAGGAAUUGA